rnacentral:rRNA from 1 species
AGUGAACGCUGGCGGUAGGCCUAACACAUGCAAGUCGAACGGCCGCACAGUAAGCGCUUGCUCUUACUGGUAGCGACUGGCGGACGGGUGAGGAGUACAUCGGAAUCUACUUUUUCGUGGGUGAUAACGUAGGGCAACUUACGCUAAUACCUAAUAUUACCUACGGGUGAAAGCAAAGGAUCUUGGCACCUUUGCCGUUUGUUUUAGCUGAAGUCGGAUUGGCUAGUUGGGAGGGUAAAGGCCCACCAAGGCAACGAAACGUAGCUGGUCUGAGAGGAUGAUCGGCCACACUGGAACUGAGACACGGUCCAGACUCCUACGGGAGGCAGCAGUAGGGAAUAUUGGGCAAUGGGCGAAAGCCUGAUGCAGCCAUACCGCGUGAGUGAAGAAGGCCUUCGGGUUGUAAAGCCCUGUUGUUGGGAAAGAAAAGAAGUAGGUUAAACCCCCGACGUUCUGACGGUACCCAAAGAAUAAGCACCGGCUAACUUCGUG